rnacentral:rRNA from 1 species
GAUGAACGCUGGCGGCGUGCCUAAUACAUGCAAGUCGAGCGAAUGGAUUAAGAGCUUGCUCUUAUGAAGUUAGCGGCGGACGGGUGAGUAACACGUGGGUAACCUGCCCAUAAGACUGGGAUAACUCCGGGAAACCGGGGCUAAUACCGGAUAACAUUUUGAACCGCAUGGUUCGAAAUUGAAAGGCGGCUUCGGCUGUCACUUAUGGAUGGACCCGCGUCGCAGUAGCUAGUUGGUGAGGUAACGGCUCACCAAGGCAACGAGGCGUAGCCGACCUGAGAGGGUGAUCGGCCACACUGGGACUGAGACACGGCCCAGACUCCUACGGGAGGCAGCAGUAGGGAAUCUUACGCAAUGGACGAAAGUCUGACGGAGCAACGCCGCGUGAGUGAUGAAGGCUUUCGGGUCGUAAAACUCUGUUGUUAGGGAAGAACAAGUGCUAGUUGAAUAAGCUGGCACCUUGACGGUACCUAACCAGAAAGCCACGGCUAACUACGUGCCAGCCGCCGCCGUAA